rnacentral:rRNA from 1 species
GAUGAACGCUGGCGGCGUGCUUAACACAUGCAAGUCGAACGAUGAAGCCCAGCUUGCUGGGUGGAUUAGUGGCGAACGGGUGAGUAACACGUGAGUAACCUGCCCUUAACUCUGGGAUAAGCCUGGGAAACUGGGUCUAAUACCGGAUAGGAGCGCCUACCGCAUGGUGGGUGUUGGAAAGAUUUAUCGGUUUUGGAUGGACUCGCGGCCUAUCAGCUUGUUGGUGAGGUAAUGGCUCACCAAGGCGACGACGGGUAGCCGGCCUGAGAGGGUGACCGGCCACACUGGGACUGAGACACGGCCCAGACUCCUACGGGAGGCAGCAGUGGGGAAUAUUGCACAAUGGGCGAAAGCCUGAUGCAGCGACGCCGCGUGAGGGAUGACGGCCUUCGGGUUGUAAACCUCUUUCAGUAGGGAAGAAGCGAAAGUGACGGUACCUGCAGAAGAAGCACCGGCUAACUACGUGCCAGCAGCCGCGGUAAUACGUAGGGUGCGAGCGUUAUCCGGAAUUAUUGGGCGUAAAGAGCUCGUAGGCGGUUUGUCGCGUCUGUCGUGAAAGUCCGGGGCUUAACCCCGGACCUGCGGUGGGUACGGGCAGACUAGAGUGCAGUAGGGGAGACUGGAAUUCCUGGUGUAGCGGUGGAAUGCGCAGAUAUCAGGAGGAACACCGAUGGCGAAGGCAGGUCUCUGGGCUGUAACUGACGCUGAGGAGCGAAAGCAUGGGGAGCGAACAGGAUUAGAUACCCUGGUAGUCCAUGCCGUAAACGUUGGGCACUAGGUGUGGGGACCAUUCCACGGUUUCCGCGCCGCAGCUAACGCAUUAAGUGCCCCGCCUGGGGAGUACGGCCGCAAGGCUAAAACUCAAAGGAAUUGACGGGGGCCCGCACAAGCGGCGGAGCAUGCGGAUUAAUUCGAUGCAACGCGAAGAACCUUACCAAGGCUUGACAUGUUCCCGAUCGCCGUAGAGAUACGGUUUCCCCUUUGGGGCGGGUUCACAGGUGGUGCAUGGUUGUCGCCAGCUCGUGUCGUGAGAUGUUGGGUUAAGUCCCGCAACGAGCGCAACCCUCGUUCCAUGUUGCCAGCACGUAAUGGUGGGGACUCAUGGGAGACUGCCGGGGUCGACUCGGAGGAAGGUGAGGACGACGUCAAAUCAUCAUGCCCCUUAUGUCUUGGGCUUCACGCAUGCUACAAUGGCCGGUACAAUGGGUUGCGAUACUGUGAGGUGGAGCUAAUCCCAAAAAGCCGGUCUCAGUUCGGAUUGGGGUCUGCAACUCGACCCCAUGAAGUCGGAGUCGCUAGUAAUCGCAGAUCAGCAACGCUGCGGUGAAUACGUUCCCGGGCCU